rnacentral:rRNA from 1 species
AUACAGAGGGUGCAAGCGUUAAUCGGAAUUACGGGGCGUAAAGCGCGCGUAGGUGGUUAGUUAAGUUGGAUGUGAAAGCCCUGGGCUCAACCUGGGAAUGGCAUUCAAAACUGGCUGACUAGAGUAUGGUAGAGGGAAGGGGAAUUCCAGGUGUAGCGGUGAAAUGCGUAGAUAUCUGGAGGAACAUCAGUGGCGAAGGCGCCUUCCUGGACUAAUACUGACACUGAGGUGCGAAAGCGUGGGUAGCAAACAGGAUUAGAAACCCUAGUAGUCC